GGUGCAAACGUUGUUCGGAUUUACUGGGCGUAAAGCGCGUGUAGGCGGCUUUGCGAGUCGGAUGUGAAAGCCCACGGCUCAACCGUGGAAGUGCAUCCGAAACUGCAUGGCUCGAGUCUCGGAGAGGAAGGUGGAAUGCUUGGUGUAGAGGUGAAAUUCGUAGAUAUCAAGCAGAACACCUGCGGCGAAGGCGGCCUUCUGGACGAUGACUGACGCUGAGACGCGAAAGCGUGGGGAGCAAACAGG
rnacentral:rRNA from 1 species